GUCCUGGCUGUAAACGAUGGGCACUAGGUGUGGGAGGUAUCGACCCCUUCCGUGCCGCAGCUAACGCAUUAAGUGCCCCGCCUGGGGAGUACGGCCGCAAGGUUGAAACUCAAAGGAAUUGACGGGGCCCGCACAAGCGGUGGAGCAUGUGGUUUAAUUCGACGCAACGCGAAGAACCUUACCGGGGCUUGAACUGCAGAGGACGGCCCUAGAAAUAGGGAUUUCCCGCAAGGGACUUCUGUAGAGGUGCUGCAUGGCUGUCGU
rnacentral:rRNA from 1 species